UACAGAGGGGGCAAGCGUUGUCCGGAUUUACUGGGCGUACAGCGCGCGCAGGCGGUUGCGUAUGUGAGCGGUGACAUCCGCGGGCUCAACCCGCGGCGGCCCGCUUACACAGCGCGACUGGAGGCAGGGAGAGGGAUGUGGAAUACCCGGUGGAGCGGUGAAAUGCGUAGAGAUCAUGAGGAAGACCAGUGGCGAAGGCGGGUCUCUGGACAGUUCCUGACACUGAGACACGAAGGCCAGGGGAGCAAACGGG
rnacentral:rRNA from 1 species